rnacentral:lncRNA from 1 species
GUUGUUGUUCUUUGAUAAAUAAAAUAAAAAAACACAACGUAUGAUAGUUAACCGUUGACUAGAAAUUGUAUUAGUAAACGAUUCAUGUUGGCUCAUAUCUUCCACCUUAUCCUCCAAAGUGCUUUGAGCCUUACCAAAUUACUUUCACUUUUGAUUCUUCAUUUCCUUUCAAAAACAAAUCAACAUGGCGGAAUCACUACUCUUCGGAGUUGCAGAGUCAUUCAUUAGUAAGCUUGCUUCUGUUGCUGUCAAUGAAGCUUCUCUAGCGCUGGGCUGGGUGUCUAUGACGAUCUUUAAGAAAUAAAAAACAUUGUCUCACUCGUCAAAGCCGUGUUAUUAGAUGCUGAACAAAAGCAAUGGCAGAACAAUGAGCUACGUGAAUGGCUGAAACAGAUUAACCGUGUUUUCUACGAUGCCGAAGAUGUUAUAGAUGAUUUCGAAUGUGAGGCCUUGCGAAAGCACGUCAUCAACACUUCUGGUAGCAUCAGAAGGAAGGUCUGAGAACCAUGCUAUUUCCCAAGGGAGCUAACAAUGAAGCUUUCUUGAAAACAUUGGCGUCAAGGUUCAAAUUCUUGCGUGUUUUACGAAUCUGCAUACUUUGAUCUCGAUGGUUGCAUAAAGCUUCAAACAUUACCCAAUGGAAUAGGAAAUUUGAUCAGCCUUCGGCAGCUCUAUAUAACUACACAUCAAUCUACUUUCCCAGACAAAGAGAUUGCAAAGUUGUCAUCUUUAGAAUGUUUAUCCGUCGUAUCUUGUGACAAUCUAGAGGCUUUGUUUCUUGAAGGAAUACAUACAACUUUCUAAUCUUAAGUUGUUGGAGAUUGGUUCUUGUGGGAGUCUAAAGUCUAUGCCGCCAAUUCAUGUUUUUCCCAACUUAGAGGCUUUGGGGAUUGAUAAUUGUUUGAAACUGCCAUUAAGCAAUGACAACUUGUGAGUUUUCCGCAAUGGUUGCAAGGAUGUGCAGACACAUUACAAACCUUGGUAAUUGAUGGCUGUGAAAAUCUAGAGGAGCUUCCUCAGUGGUUCUCAACGCUGAUUUGUCUCAAAAUACUUCGAAUUCGAAAUUGCCCGAAAUUGUUUUCGCUCCCCGAAGAUUUACAUUGCCUUCCAAACCUUGAAAGUUUAAAAAUUGAAGAUUGUCCAGAAUUAGGUAGAAGAUACCGGCCAGGAGUUGGACGUGAUUGGCACAAGAUAUCACACAUCAAAGAAGUGAUCGUUGAAUCGACGGAAUUCGAAAAUUAAAAGGAAUUUACAGAUAUCACAAUCAAGGUUUAAAGAAUGGUGAAUUUGUGAUGCAAGUCAACAGAGGUUUGAAGUUGAAAGUUAUUUUUUUUACCAAGUUAUUUGAGUGAGCUAUCAAGUCAUUUAAGUCAACUAUCAUUUUAAUUCAUAUUGAAAAUUUAUUUGGUAUAAUUUCAAAUGAAUCAUCUGAUUUGUAAUUUGAGAUUUAAAGUUGUAUGUAUUAAAGUUUGUAAUUCGAGAUUUAAUAUGCAAGUGUGUAUGAUAGUAUGCAAAGUGCAAGGAAAAUAGU